GCAGGACUGCUAGUCUCGCCUGUGGGUUGUGAACAACGUACACCCAUCAUCGCUAUCCCAUUGGAGGGCAAGUCUGGUGCCAGCAGCCGCGGUAAUUCCAGCUCCAAUAGCGUAUAUUAACGUUGUUGCAGUUAAAAAGCUCGUAGUUGAAGUGAGGGAGUGUGUGGGUAUGAGAGCUAGUCUCAAGUACUCACAACCUCCCCCCUCCAAUCGGUGUAGUGGGGUAUUCAGUUAUUCUACUACUCCUUUGGUCGUUUACUGUGAGAAAAUUAGAGUGUUCAAAGCGGGCGUAUGUUUGAAUAGAUUACCAUGGAAUAAUGAUUGAAGGCUUUCGUGUUAAAUGUGAAUGGCCAGUAUAUGGCAGCAAGGAUAAAAGGAACAGUUGGGGGUAUUCAUAUUCACUACUUAG
rnacentral:rRNA from 1 species